AGGGCAGAAGUGCCCUGGAGUGCAGACCCCAGCAGACACUGACCAGGCACAGGAGGAUGAAGUGAGUUUGUUGGGGACAGAGAACAGCCAAGGGGCAGCCGGCAGUCAGCUCAAGUCCUCACAAAGAAGGGCAAUACCACCCGUGGGCCGGGACAGUCGGCUCGAGGGCCAGCAGCCAGGAACGUGGCGAAGAACUUGGAUCUGAGGUGGGCCCAUGGUGUAGCUGUGGUGUGCUAGCAAGAGUGGCCUCCAAACCCACCCUGGAAGGUGAUCCAGAGACCAUAGAGCAGAAAGGCUUCCUUCUCAGAGUGAGCUGCUGGAAGCCCACCAGUGUCAGUGCCAAGAGGAGCUGGGGUGCCAGUAUCUGUGUAUCUUCAGAGGCAGCAGGGGCCAGUGUGCCACAUCUUGCCCCAGUCCUGAAAGGAUAGAUGGUAUUUGGCCUGUGACCCUUGGCUGAGGAGCCAUGGUCCGGCUCUGCCAGGCCCUGCUGCUGUUAGUGGCCACUGUGGCCCUUGCAUCCAGAAGAUUCCAAGCCUGGGGCUCAACAAAGGUGGUGAGGACAUUCCAAGAUAUCCCUCAAAACUACGUCUAUGUGCAGCAGGCACUCUGGUUCGCCAUGAAGGAGUAUAACAAGGCCAGCUUUAGUAUAACAAGUUCAGCUUUAGGGUGCUGAAGGUUCUGAAGAGCCAGGAGCAGGUGACAGAUAGUUUGGAGUACUAUAUUGAGGUCAAAAUUGCCCGAACAAUUUGCAAGAAAAUUUCAGAAGAUGAAAACUGUGCAUUUCAAGAGGAUCCCAAAAUGCAAAAGGUGGUUUUUUGUACUUUUAUUGUUGCAUCUAAACCAUGGAAAUUUGAACUCACCAUGCUGAAGAAACAAUGCAAAGAUAUGUAGUUAUCUUCUAGUGUGUUCUGCCACACUCAUUUCCAUUUUAAAGAAGAAGCAAAGACACUUGCAAGAACUAGAACAACACAGUUAACCCAUUAACUUCAUUUGUUUGGCCUUUUUGCAUUUUUGUGUGUUCUUCAUGGGCUGAUGUUGAAAAUCCAUGAUGUGUUUUGACAGCAUUGCAUAGCCUAUUCUUGCUGGAUACUUCCCCUACUAGCUGGGAUAAUCUGCUGCAAUAAAUGGAAGUGGUUUCUACACCUCACCCAA
rnacentral:lncRNA from 1 species